UACGGAGGGUGCAAGCGUUAUCCGGAUUUACUGGGUUUAAAGGGUGCGUAGGUGGGUUGGGAAGUCAGUGGUGAAAUACUUUCGCUUAACGAAGGAACUGCCAUUGAUACUAUCAAUCUUGAAUGUAGUGGAGGUAGGCGGAAUGCGUCAUGUAGCGGUGAAAUGCUUAGAUAUGACAUAGAACACCGAUAGCGAAGGCAGCUUGCUACACAAUUAUUGACACUGAGGCUCGAAAGCGUGGGGAUCAAACAGG
rnacentral:rRNA from 1 species